GGGGGCGUAGCUCAGUUGGGAGAGCGUCUGCUUUGCACGCAGAAGGUCGUCGGUUCGAAUCCGGUCGCCUCCACCA
rnacentral:tRNA from 1 species